rnacentral:rRNA from 1 species
UGGGGAAUAUUGCACAAUGGGCGCAAGCCUGAUGCAGCCAUGCCGCGUGUAUGAAGAAGGCCUUCGGGUUGUAAAGUACUUUCAGUCGGGAGGAAGGUGGUAAGGUUAAUAACCUUAUCAAUUGACGUUACCGACAGAAGAAGCACCGGCUAACUCCGUGCCAGCAGCCGCGGUAAUACGGAGGGUGCAAGCGUUAAUCGGAAUUACUGGGCGUAAAGCGCACGCAGGCGGUUGAUUGAGUCAGAUGUGAAAUCCCCGGGCUUAACCCGGGAAUUGCAUCUGAUACUGGUCAGCUAGAGUCUCGUAGAGGGGGGUAGAAUUCCAGGUGUAGCGGUGAAAUGCGUAGAGAUCUGGAGGAAUACCGGUGGCGAAGGCGGCCCCCUGGACAAAGACUGACGCUCAGGUGCGAAAGCGUGGGGAGCAAACAGG